rnacentral:lncRNA from 1 species
AUGGUCCAGCGGUGGCUGCUGCUGUCCUGCUGCGGAGCCCUGCUCAGCGCUGUCUGGCUAACACCUCCUACACCAGCCCAGGCCUCCAGAGGCUGAAGGACUCUCCACAGACACCCCGGACAAAGGCCAGUGCUCCACGUGGGGGGCUGGUCACUUCUCCACCUUCGACCACCACGUGUACGACUUCUCGGGGACGUGCAACUACAUCUUCGCGGCCACCUGCAAGGACGCCUUCCCCACCUUCAGUGUCCAGCUGCGGCGAGGCCCAGACGGGAGCAUCUCGCGGAUCAUCGUGGAGCUGGGGGCCUCCGUCGUCACUGUGAGCGAAGCCAUCAUCUCAGUCAAGGACAUCG